CUAUUUGAAAUAAUUUACGGGUUAUCCUUUUAAAAGUAGGCCGGAUGAAAAAUAGUAAACAAUCAGCUUCUAAAAGUAAAAACAAAAGUUGUGAAGGCUGCCGUACGAAAUAAAUUAUCCUUGCCAUCAAUUUUGCAUACCAUGAAUUGAUAAUCUCCGUGUGAGUCGUAUCCGCAACAUUUAAAUUUGAACUUCGAAAAAGGAACAUACCUACAAAAUAUGUGGACCGUGAACAAGCCGCUGCAAUUUCUGUUACAAUACAAUCCAAUUUUAAAGAACUGCAGAAACAGAGUCUACAGGAGGAGUUAUUGGCUGAUACCAGAAAACAAAAUUUAAGAAAAUUAUCAAAAUUGUUCGAUUUUUACGGAAAAUCGUCGCAUUCAACAUGGAAAAAUAAUGAGCUAAAUCGACCCACAUUUCCUAAGGAUCCAUCGAUCCGUCGAAAUAAUCUGCCUUUGAUGUUUGUUCGAAUGGUACUGGAUGUGUAGUUAAUGUUGCUGUGAGAGUUACAUUCAUUGAAAAGGGAAAUAAGAAGAAUCGGAAUAACUAUGUUUUUACUAAUGCGGAAAACGUAAAAAACUAUGAAAUGUAGUCUGA